GGUAGCUAGUUGUAGCAUAUGAUUGUACUUUGAUUAGUGUUUGAUAAUGAUGCUGAUCAUGGUAAUUAUAAGGGUGGGUGGUGAUAAUUUUAUACUAGCAGACUACAUUGUAGAGUAGGUUAUUAUUAUGAUUAUUGGGAAUCCAUAGUUUAGUUUACUAUAUAGUUUAUUGCUAAAGGGAAUCUGCGGCUAAAAUCCCCAAUAAUAAGAAAAACUGUUCCUCGUACGAACCCUUGUCUAGUGCUUGCUAUAAGAAAACAUUAAGAAGCACACUAUUCACGAAUAGAUAAGUCGGUGAGUGGCCGAGUGCUGCCAUCAACUGAGGAGCAUCAUCGAUUAAAGCAGAGAGAAACAAAGAACGAAAGAGAGAGAAAGAGAGAGAUUGUGUUUGCAAUUUGCAAAGUUUCAGGUUGAUGUUGCUGAGAACGCUCCCUUGUAUUUCGGGUUCUAGUUACUGUCCCAAGGUUGAAAUGUUGGGUGCAAUCUCUCUUUGUCUUUGUUGUCCAAAUCUGAAAUUUUCCAAAGUUCCUCGUGCUCUCUCGCAGGACUUGCAAAAUACGUGGUGGCUUUGUGAUACUUUUCAGAUCUAGUCACAAACGGAAGAUAUUUCGCAGGAAAAGUAUUCCAUUAAUAAUAAUAGAUGAUAUAUUCCAUGGUACGUUUUUAUGUUACUACUCUUUCCUUGAUUUGAAUGUAUUUCGGCUUACUUUUCAACUAUGAAUGAUAUUUGCUUGUGGAGCAAUUGGUGGCAAGAUUAGUGGUUUCUUUUA